ACAGGCUGGUAGUUUGCAUGGAGAUCACGAAGUCUUCCCCUCCUCCCCCCGAGUAUUCUGGAAGAAAAGGCAAGAAUAGCUCAGAAAACCUGGUGUCAUUCCUCCCCUGGAAUGAAUGACUGGAAGGAAUGAGGGUGUUACACAUGAUGCAGACCGCAAGUGCAAAAGCUGCAUCUGUGCUCAAUGCAAACAUAACACAAUUCCUGAACAUUGUAUCUAAAGGACUGCAUAGCUACAGCUAAUAGGAGAGCAACAGCAAGGCAAAGUAAAGAAGGAGAGGCACAGACCACUGCUGAAUACAAUUGUCUAUAUAGAAACUCAUUAUGCUCCAAAUCUCUCUGUCCCAUUCUAUUCUAUUCCCUCCUCUUUGCCUCUCCUCCCACUAUAGCCUCCCUUAUGAGGUCUUCCUGCCCUGGGUUCUUUGCUCCCCAUUCCUGUUUCUUCUUGCUCUUCCUCUCCUCAUCUCCCAGGCAGCUCCCACUUUCCUCCGCCUUCAACCCACCAGAAUCCUUUCUUCCCUUGGUUUCUCCUCCUCCCACCACACUAUCUGCAACUAUCUUUCCUCUCCUUAUCUCUUCCACUCCCUCCCAAAUGAGGGUCUCUCCCUUGCAGGCCCCUAGGCUAGUUCUCCCCUUCCCCAACAAUUUCCUUUCCCGUUUCUGGGGUUCACUCUCCUCCUGCUUCUCUCCCUGCCUCCUGCCCCGCCCCGAAACAGAACUCACAGAUGUUAGGAUCCUUGGAGGGAGCUGGAGCUGCUGGAGGAUCCUGACUGUGGGAAGUGGCUGCUUCUUGGUGUCUCCACUUCUUCCCCUCCCCCGGUCCCCACAGGAAGACAGUCAGAGAAGACGUGGGCAGCUACAGAGUGGGGUCUUCAGCUGGCUUCUCGCAGGAGGAGGCAGCCACGCAACUCCCUCUUGGAAAGAUUACACCUCUGUAUGUACUUCUGUGAACAGAAUAAUGCAGGUGCUGCUACAGCACAGCACUCCACAAAUAUUAAUCUAGUGAAUCUAAUGUUUUUGUGGAAAAUAUAAGAAUAAGAACAUAAGAAUGGCCAUAUGGGGUCAGACCAAAGGUCCAUCUAGCCCAGUAUACUGUCUUCCGACAGUGGCCAAUGCUUGGUGCCCCAGAGGGAAUGAA